UGAACGCUGGCGGCAUGCCUUACACAUGCAAGUCGAACGGCAGCGCGGGGCAACCUGGCGGCGAGUGGCGAACGGGUGAGUAAUAUAUCGGAACGUACCCUGGAGUGGGGGAUAACGUAGCGAAAGUUUACGCUAAUACCGCAUACGAUCUAAGGAUGAAAGUGGGGGAUCGCAAGACCUCAUGCUCCUGGAGCGGCCGAUAUCUGAUUAGCUAGUUGGUGGGGUAAAGGCCUACCAAGGCAUCGAUCAGUAGCUGGUCUGAGAGGACGACCAGCCACACUGGAACUGAGACACGGUCCAGACUCCUACGGGAGGCAGCAGUGGGGAAUUUUGGACAAUGGGCGAAAGCCUGAUCCAGCAAUGCCGCGUGAGUGAAGAAGGCCUUCGGGUUGUAAAGCUCUUUUGUCAGGGAAGAAACGGUGAGGGCUAAUAUCCUUUGCUAAUGACGGUACCUGAAGAAUAAGCACCGGCUAACUACGUGCCAGCAGCCGCGGUAAAUACGUAGGGUGCAAGCGUUAAUCGGAAUUACUGGGCGUAAAGCGUGCGCAGGCGGUUUUGUAAGUCUGUCGUGAAAUCCCCGGGCUCAACCUGGGAAUUGCGAUGGAGACUGCAAGGCUAGAAUCUGGCAGAGGGGGGUAGAAUUCCACGUGUAGCAGUGAAAUGCGUAGAGAUGUGGAGGAACACCGAUGGCGAAGGCAGCCCCCUGGGUCAAGAUUGACGCUCAUGCACGAAAGCGUGGGGAGCAAACAGGAUUAGAUACCCUGGUAGUCCACGCCCUAAACGAUGUCUACUAGUUGUCGGGUUUUAAUUAACUUGGUAACGCAGCUAACGCGUGAAGUAGACCGCCUGGGGAGUACGGUCGCAAGAUUAAAACUCAAAGGAAUUGACGGGGACCCGCACAAGCGGUGGAUGAUGUGGAUUAAUUCGAUGCAACGCGAAAAACCUUACCUACCCUUGACAUGUACGGAAGCCACGAGAGAUCGAGUGUGCUCGAAAGAGAGCCGUAACACAGGUGCUGCAUGGCUGUCGUCAGCUCGUGUCGUGAGAUGUUGGGUUAAGUCCCGCAACGAGCGCAACCCUUGUCAUUAGUUGCUACGAAAGGGCACUCUAAUGAGACUGCCGGUGACAAACCGGAGGAAGGUGGGGAUGACGUCAAGUCCUCAUGGCCCUUAUGGGUAGGGCUUCACACGUCAUACAAUGGUACAUACAGAGGGCCGCCAACCCGCGAGGGGGAGCUAAUCCCAGAAAGUGUAUCGUAGUCCGGAUUGUAGUCUGCAACUCGACUGCAUGAAGUUGGAAUCGCUAGUAAUCGCGGAUCAGCAUGUCGCGGUGAAUACGUUCCCGGGUCUUGUACACACCG
rnacentral:rRNA from 1 species